rnacentral:lncRNA from 1 species
GCCGGGCCGGGUAAGCGGGGGCGGGGCCCAGCCGCCGGUGUCGCCUCAGGUUUGCCCCCUGCCCCUCGGCCUGGUAACGGCUGGCGAGCCCGGGCCGUGGGAGGGCCCUGAGGAGCGAAAAUCGAGAACCGCCAAAUUCUGCGCUUCGAAUCCUCGCCCUCUGCCGGAGGGACUGUGGGAGAACGGCGCUCUGGCCAGCUCUGUGAUAGGCAGUUAGCGAUGAGGGGGCGUGUCUUCUAUACUAAGUGUGGUGGGCGUUGAGGUUUAUAGACUUCUUUCUUAAAAUAUAGGGGCGCCUGGGUGGCGCAGUCGGUUGAGCGUCCGACUUCAGCCAGGUCACGAUCUCGCGGUCCGUGAGUUCGAGCCCCGCGUCGGGCUCUGGGCUGAUGGCUCAGAGCCUGGAGCCUGUUUCCGAUUCUGUGUCUCCCUCUCUCUCUGCCCCUCCCCCGUUCAUGCUCUGUCUCUCUCUGUCCCAAAAAUAAAUAAACGUUGAAAAAAAAAUUAAAAAAAAAAUAAAUAAAAUAUGAAGCCGGUCCCAGGCUGAUUCUGUAAAUGCACAGAAAGUGUUUAGAUUUUAAAAACCUCCUCCCGCGUUAGGAGAAGUGAGCCGGGAAAUCAAGACAGCAUACACACUAUCACCAGGGUCCCUCUGUUACCUCAAAAGGGUCAGUUGACUUUCUGGGCUUCCUUUGUCAGCUGUAGAAUGGAAGAUCCCCAGGGCUUUCAGUUCUGGAUUCUGUAAAAGCCUCACCACGUGUGUCCUUACUGGUGGUGGCUGCUAACAGUGACCGGGGCAAAGAGAAUGCAAGGUGCUCGCGACUCUGGUGGGGAGACAAGCCCUGUGCUCAGGAGCUGCCAGUCAGCAGAAACUGGGCGAGUCCAUCUCAGGGUCAGGGGUAAUAUAGAUUAUAGAUGUGUACCAUCAGGGGAUCUGGGCCGACGAAGGAGGAGAGGGCUGUAUUUUGAGAAGAGGGGAGAGCUCUCAGACUGGGAAGAGGGGGGUACAGUGUACAAGAGUCAGGAUGGCGUGAUGAGUCAGUGGGGCCACUGUCACAAGCAUAUAGAAUACUUCCAUGACCUUUUCUGGGGUCAGGUCAAGCUCAUCAUCCUGAGGCUGAGUGGGUGGGUGGCUGGGGUCUCUAGCCCCAGCCAGGCGUUUUAACAUGGAUGAGUAAUUCAAGUCUGCCUCAUCGGAAAGACCUGUGUGAUUGUGAUUUGCCUGAAGAGGAGGGGAUAAGGGAUAGACGAUGGUUUGUGGGAUUCUUUCAGGGCUGUAUUUUACUAAUUUGUUUUUCCAAAAGUGCCUAGCAGAGAACGCUGCACACAGUGGGUUCUCAUUUGUGUUUUUAAAAUCUAAUUCCAAGGGGCGCCUAGGUGGCUCAGUCGGUUAGGCGUCCGACUUCGGCUCAUGUCAUGAUCUCAUCGCUUGUGACUUCGAGGCUCCCCCCACCCCGUGCUGACAGCUCAGCCUGGAGCCUGCUUCAGAUUCCGUGUCUCCUUCUCUCUGUGCCCCUCCCGCAUUCAUGCUCUGUCUGUCUCUCUCAAAAGUAAAUAAACAUGAAAAAAAAAUUUAAAUCUAAUGCCAAAAUCACAGAAUGCAAAGCAUGGUGAACUCUCUUUCACACCUUCCCCCGCCCCCCAUCUCCCCACCUCCCAGUCUGAUAGUAACAAUAGAAAUCCUUCUCUUGUUCAUUCCAUCCUUGGUGCCUAUAAUUCUUUUGAUGGUAGACAAAGGCCUUUUUAUUCCAUAUUUAGGCCAUUCCUGCAAUAUUGUCCUUAAUUCUGGGCAAGAGGGACUUCCUGCAAUAUUGUCUUCCAUACUUUGGAAGAGGGACUUUACUGAACUGCAACAUGUUCAAGAGAGGAUGAGCAACAUGAUUAGGGGCCUAUAAAUCAUGUCAUAUGAGGAACAGUUGGGCAUAUUUGAAUUGCAGGGACGUGGUACUCAGUGGGGGAGGUGACAGAUGUAUUUAAAUAAAGUGAAAGGCUGCCAGGAGGAGAAGGACUUGUUUCAUAUUUCUCAAGUGAGGAGAAACCAUAGGGGGCUAAUUUUGUUUAGCAUGACUGAGAACCUUUUAAUGAUCAGAACAGUCCAGAAAUGGAAUGGGCUGCCCCAGGAAGCCUUGAUUUACAAUCAGGGGAGGUGUUUACUCAGACUGGAUUCCAUGUGUGGCGAUUAUUAUAGGAGAAUUGAUGCAGCGGGUGAAAAAUUAGGGGAAAAGGCCUUCUGAGGUCACUUCCAGACAUCUGAUAUUGUACGUUAAACUUUAUUUUAUUUGAUAUAUUUUAAAUAUUUAUUUUUGAGAGCGAGAGAGUGUGAGUGGGGAGGAGCAGAGAGAGAGGAGGACAGAGGAUCAGAAGUGGGCUCUGGCUGAUAGCACAGACCUAGAUGUAGGGCUCAAACUCAUGAACUGGGAGAUCAUGAUCUGAGCUAAAGUUGGAUGCUUAACCAACUGAGCCACCCAGGUGCCCCUAUAUGUUAAAUUUUAGUUGAGAAUAUCUGACCUUGGGGCACCUGGGUGGCUUAGUCGGUUGAGUGUCUGACUUGAUUUCAGGUCUGGUCAUGAUCCCAGGAUCAUGGGCUCGAACCUGGAAAUAGAGCUCGGCAUGAAGUCUGCUUAAGAUUCUCUCUCUCUCUCUCUCUCUCUCUCUCUCUCUCUCUGUCUGUCUCUUCUCUCUCCCUCUUCCCUGCUUGCAUGUGUGCUUUAUCUCUCUGUCUCAAAUUAAAAAAAAAAAAAGGCAUAUCUGACCUCAGCUGAUUUACACUGAAGCUUCUUUCUUGAGAGUGGACGUUUGGGGAGUAGGAAUGUCAGGUGAGGGGACUAAUAAAUUGUAAAUAGGGAGGUAGUAGACAAGGUGAGAAAGAGCCCAAGAAAGGGGGCAAUCCUAAAGGAAGGCUGCCCUAGCCACCUCACAGUUUGGUGUUUUGUAUUCUGGGGUCAUUCUGUUUAGCUUUGGAGAUGUGCCAUGUGGCUUAGUGAGUAUAUUGGUGCAUAGCUUUCUCUCUCUUUCCUUCCUACUAGGUCCUUUCUGUAAAGCACACUCUAUUUCCUUGUUGCUACUAACCCCGAUCAGUUGGAGUGGCAGAUUUAAAGAUGAAAUGACAAGCAGUUUAAAUUAACCAGUGGAAUCUAGACUUAUGUUCUAUUUUUAUUCCUUCCCUGUUAUUGUGUAGGUCAGUAGGUAGACAUUUGAUUCACAUACCCAAUGUGCUUCUCUUGCCUUGGCUUUUAGUUGGUUUUGUCAGCCUUAUUUGAUUUUGUUUUGAUUGGAGCCCAGCUUCAUUGUCUGGAGAUUAUCUUCACGUAAUACAAUGCACUAAAGGCAAAGCUAUCCUGCCUGCAACCAUUGCCUGAUGGUCGACAUUUCCCCUCUCAGUUUACAUUACAGCCGCAUCUGGCACAUCACAUAACAUCCUUUUUUAUUAUUAUUGAUAUGGGAUGUGAAAACAUUUUGAAAGUGGAAACACCAUACAAGUGUAAAUUACUAUUAUAGGUAAUAUACAGGUCUUAGGAGGGGGACUUUACAUAGAUAUUUGUUAGUACCUCAUAGCAGGACAUGACUUUGUUGGUUUUGUGAUAUGUUAUUAGAUGGCCACAGUUGUUAUUGUAAAUUGGCAUCUUUAGUUUUUGGUGAUUUGAUGGGUCUAUAGUUUUAAAAUGAUGUUUCUUCUAGGUGCAUGAUCCCCAGGUGAAGUUUCAUCUUUGAUCCUCUGCUUUCUUACUUAAAACAUCACAUACCUCUUUGAUAUACUCUAUGAAACAGAAACAUUCUCUUCUUUAAACUUCACUAAAUUGGCAAGUUGGAAGCAAACCUUUUUUUCUGCUUAAAAAUCAAUCACAGGCUGCGGUUUGUUUAGGGAGCACAUGCUUAGGAAAGUGAUCAUUUCUACCUAAAGUACAUCAAGUCACUACCAGUUACAGCUUAAUUAUCUUACAGUGUUGCUAGACGUAUCCGAAGCUAGUUGUAUUGAAAUCAGAGUAUUGUAAUAUAUACUAUCGGUAAUAUUACUAAAAGAAUAUUGCAUAGUUACUCUUUGAUAAAAUCAUCUUUAUCUGACCACCUGUUAUGUACUUGCUCAUAUAGUAGUUUAAUUUUUUUUUUUUUUCUUUUCAAGGACUUAUAGCUCCCUUCUCCAAUGAACCUUUUUUGAGGUAUGACCAAAGAUAGCACCUACUGUAGGUUUGUACGCCUAUGGUGAUGACUUAAACGUUUAUAAUGUGGUGAAUGGAGCUUACUUUUGUCUGUCUUAAGUAUCAUCAGUUGUAACCAGAUGAGCACCAGUUUGAAAACUCUGAUGGCUGUAAAGGAAAAUUUAGAACAAGUCGUCAUCAAAGAAAGCAUAAAGCUGGACAAUCAAAUAAGAAGUGGAAGUCUCCCUUAAUCAUCAGAAUAUACCUCAGCUAUAUCAGGAAAGUGAAAAUGAUAUUUUAUUCAGAAAACUAGAAUAUUUUGAAAAAUAUCUCAAAUAUUUUCAUGCCUUGUCUUGCAAAAAGAAUAAAACUCCUAAAAACAAAAAUUCUAAACAUGACAAAAAGAGUGUAGGCAAUAUCAAACCAACCAAAGAUGACAUUUAUCAGUAUCAAGUUUUUUCUUUCAUCUUUAUUCUUUUUCUUUAAGUUUGUUUUGAGAGAGAGUGAGAGCGUGCAUAGUGGGAGAGGGGCAGAGAGAGAGAGGGAGAGAGAGAGAAUCCCAAGCAGGCUCCAGGCUCAUUGCAGAGCUCUUGAGGGGCUUGAUCCCAUGACCCUGGGAUUAUGACCUGAGCCGAAAUCAAGAGUCAGACAGUCAACUUACUGAGCCACCCAGGCACUCCAAGAAAAACACAUUUAAAAAGUCUUAGGUAAGGGGCACCUGGGUGGCUCAGUUGGUUAAACAUCUGACUCGAUUUUGGCUCAGGUCAUGAUCUCAGGGGUUCAUGGGAUCGAACCCCUCAUAUGGCUCCGUGCUGGCAGUGGAGCCUGGUUGGGAUUGUCUCCUCUCCUUUCUCUGCCCCUCCCCUGCUCGUGCGCGCUCUCUCUCUCUCUCUCUCUCUCUCUCUCUCAAUGUAAAUAAAUAAACUUAAAAAAAAAAAUUCUUAGGCAAGACCUCUUGUCAGACAUAACUUACAAGGUUUUACAGAAACCUCAUCUCUCCCCAGGAAAGUAAAACAAGACACGACCAAAAGAGCUAUGUAAGUAUUUAUAUAUGUUUGCCUGUCAGGAUGAACACCGCAAACAUCAGGUAGCCAGUACUUCUAGAUAAUUGCAGUGAAGCUCUUAAAACUGCUUCUUGCUGUUUUGUUGAUAGGAUCCUAGCAGAUUCCAGAAAACAGAAAAGGGCACACAAAGGAAAUCAUUGUUGGCCUUGUAUUAGGAGUUGCCAUCCCUGAAAUAAACAGCUGGCCUCAGAGCAUAGAGCUUCCUUUGUCGUCCUGCCCAUCUGUGCUGGAAUUGAAAACAUGUAACUCAGAUGAAUUUUGGGUGGAGAGUCUGAAAGAUAAGCAGGUUUCUCAAACAGGCACAUCAAGCCCUAGAAAAAUAGGCAGUAGUUUUGAUCACAGUCAGGAGAUGUUUCUAACUCAGAGGACUUUUAUUUUUCCUGAUUGAGGCUUUCCCCCAGUUGUCAUUGUAGUCAAUGCAGUUAACUUGUCUUUAGCAACUCCCAAACAUUUUAGGGACAGAAGUAGGAAAGGGAAUCACCAUUCUGUGAUUCUGCAGAAAUUUAGCAAGUCUUUAGGUGGAGAAACAGUUCAAGCCACCUCACUCAGGACAACUUAAGAUCCUCUAAGAGAAUCAGAAGUCAUGUGGGCACCUAAGAGAGGGCCAGUCAGACAGAUUUCUUGAGUUCUUCAGCCAUAGCUACCUCCUUGUUCUUCAGAAAGAAAGUAGAUUUGGAUGAAAGCCUGUGGAUUUGAGUUGGACUGGAGGAAGCAGAACUUGGUUAAGAGGGGCUGAGUGUAUUUUCUAACCUGCUGGAUGCUAGUGAUGGAAUACAUAGGACUUCUAAAAAUGUUUUGGAGACCGUGAGCCUUUUAGAAGAUAAUGAUGAAGACUCUGGUAUGAUGACUGCAAUCCUUAGUAAUUAUAGCCAGAGGGGAAAAUGUGUUUGCAUCAGGUUGCCGUUUAGAUAAAAUAUAUUCAACAAAAUGGAAUUAAUGAUUUUUCUUAAAAAGUUACCUUGAUAACAAAUAUUCUUAGAAAGCUGUUAGUGAAAAUAAGACAAAGAACAUUUCAAGCAUAGAAAUUAUGCAGGAAUGUGAGCAAAUCCAAAUUUAAAGCAGAGUUUUUUAGCUUUUAUGUUUCACUGGGUUUUUUUAUUAAGAAAAUAAAAAAUCUUGGCAUGAUACACGCUUGUGAAUUUUAACAUUUUGUUGUAAAAUGAAAAUGGGCUGGGGAAAUGUGGCAACAGUAAUUUCUUGGGAUUUUAAUAUCAAGUUACCAACAACUAUAGAUAAGGCAAUGUUAGCUGACCUCAAUUUUGAAUGAGAAUAGAAAAUACUGUCGUCCACCUUUUUAGAAAAAAAGUUUUAAAAAUAUAUAGUUAUCUCAGUGUGAUCAUAUCUAUGAAACAGCUGAAUGGUAAAAAAAAAAAAUUGUUCAUGACGGUUUACAAAGAGGGAUUUUUGGCAAAUGUAAAAAUGACCAUAUUUUAAUUUUUCCCCCAAAAGUUUUGAUGUAAACAACCUGUGCCUAGGUUUCCUUAACACAUGAGAAAUAUUUAUUUAAAUAAAACCUAGAGUUUGAUCCUUAGCUAUUAAAUUAUAACUGUGCUUAUUCUAAAACAUUAUCCAAUUUAGAAAUAUGGGUACUUUUGUAUAAAUAGAUGAUUGCUUAAAUUCUCGAUUACAUCACCUAGUCUUUUUUGCAGUGGUUUAAGCAGUAAAAUUUAUGUUAUUCCAAAUACUAUUUUUUUAAUUUAACUUGUUUUAUUAUUUAAAAAAAAAUUUUUUUUUAAUGUUUAUUUUUGAGACAGAGACAGAGCAUGAACGGGGGAGGGUCAGAGAGAGGGAGACACAGAAUCUGAAAUAGGCUCCAGGCUCUGAACUGUCAGCACAGAGCCCGACGUGGGGCUCGAACUCACGGACCAGGAGAUCACGACCUGAGCCGAAGUUGGACGCCCAACUGACUGAGCCACCCAGGCGCCCCUUAUUAUUUAUUUUUUUAAAAUUUACAUCCAAAUUAGUUAGCAUGUAGUACAACAAUGAUUUCAGGAGUAGAUGCCUUAGUGUCCCUUACCUAAUUAGCCCAUUCCCCCUCCCACAACCCCUCCAGUAACCCUCAGUUUGUUCUCCAUAUUUAUGAGUCUCUUCUGUUUUGUGCCCCUCCCUGUUUUUAUAUUAUUUUUGUUUCCCUUCCCUUAUGUUCAUCUGUUUUAUCUCUUAAAGUCCUCAUAUGAGUGAAGUCAUAUGAUUUUUGUCUUUCUCUGACUAAUUUUACUUAGCAUAAUACCCUCCAGUUCCUUCCACAUAGUUGCAAAUGGCAAGAUUUCAUUCUUUUUGAUUGCUGAGUUAUACUCCAUUAUAUAUAUAUGUGUGUAUGUGUAUAUAUAUACACGUAUAUAUGUAUACAUAUACAUAUAUAUGUAUACAUAUACAUGUGUAUGUAUAUAUAUGUGUAUAUAUAUAUAUACACACACACACAUAUAUAUACACACAUAUAUAUAUAUACACAUAUAAAUAAUAUAUGUAUAUGCCACAUCUUUAUUCAUCUGUCGAUGGACAUUUAGGCUCUUUCUAUACUUUGGCUAUUGUUGAUAGUGCUGCUAUAAACAUGGAGGUGCAUGUGUCCCUUCAAAACAGCACACCUGUAUCCCUUGGAUAAAUGCCUAGUAGAGCAAUUGCUGGGUCAUAGGGUAGUUCUAUUUUUAGUUUUUCGAGGAACCUUCAUACUGUUUUCCAGAGUGGCUGCACCAACUUGCAUUCCCAACUUCAAAUACUGUUUUUAAGGCUCAAAGCUCACUGUUUGUGAAUUCAGGGUCUUAAAUAUUAUUUGUACAUUGUUCCUGUGUUAUAAUAAUAUCACGUUAUAUAAUAUUUUGUAGCUACUUUUGACCAAUGUGAGAAUAGAUGUGAUAUCAUAGUAUAUGGUGUAACUGUUGUUGCAAAGUUAUUUGUUCUUUUAAAUUGCGUUUUUAUGUUUCCCAUAAUAUACAGUAUUUUUCUCAAAUUGCAUUUGUAAAUACUAAGCCAGUUUAGAGCUGUGCAUAAAUGAUCCUUGUCUGAGCUUACUGAAAAACUGACUUAAGUGUUUUUAAUUUGUAGAAUAUAUUACUUGCCAGAUGUUUUUGGUUCUUCAUAUAAUUUCAAAGCAACUCUCCUAUUAUGCUAAAUAUUAAUUUCCAAAAAUUUGUGAAUGACUUUAGUUGUCAUACCUCAUUUGAAAUAAAGCUUGUGAGGGGCACCUGGGUGGCUCAGUUGGUUAAACGCCUGACUUUGGCUCAAGUCAUGAUCUAUCUCACAGUUCGUGAGUUCGAGCCCCACAUCGGGCUCUGUGCUGACAGCUCGGAGCCAGGAACCUGCUUCAGAUUCUGUGUCUCCCUCUCUCUUUGCCCCUGCUCAUGCCCUCCUUCCCUCUCUCUCUCUCUCUCUCUCUCCGCCCCCCCCAAAUAAAUAAAUAUUAAAGAAAAGCUUAUGAAAUCAAGCUUCUUAAAGAAAUAAAGUUGGUGAUCUUGCCUUUUUCACUACAGUCAUUCCAAGAUAGAAAUGCUUAAUAUGUUUAGAUUUCUACUUUUACACAGAAACUUUGAUCCCUUUAAUAUACGUAAAAAGUAAAAAGUUGCGAUCAGUGAAGAGCAUUUUAGAUGGGGGUACUUGGUUGUGUUUGUUGGUGGAUAAACAUUGAACAAUAGUACUGAGAUACUUUUUCUGUGCUGCAUACUUAAUUGACCACUGCCAAAAAAAAAAAAAAAGUAAUGCUACACUCUCCAAAGCCCCUAUUCCCUUCUUGAAGUGAUUAGGUCUUAUCCUUCUCUUUUAGUUUGCAGGCAGGGACCAUCCACUUAACUGCCACACCAGGAAUCUCAAAUAUGCAGGGACAAGAGAAAUACUUGUUUCUCAUCAGGCUCUUGGACACCCUUUGGCUAUAUACUCAGGUGAGUGGUCGUUGGGAUUGCCCUGCAUUCUCUGGUCUGGAGAUUGGAAUCAAGACUUUGAAGUUUUUCUAUAAUCUUUCCCAGAGACUUGCUGUAUAGCCUGGCUUCAGGGACAUGCUGGAGCCUCCUAGUGGUGGCCUCUGGGCAUGGGAAUGUUCAUAACAACAGGGUGAAUGGGGCCUACUGAGUUCAAAGUACUUUGGCAUGAGUUAUUAUCACUGCACAGGGGUUUAGGCACAUACCUAGCAUCUCAUAGAUUGAAACAUGAUGAAGGAUAAUGAUGUGUUCUGACCUUCCAGGGUGUGGUGGGAAUGAGCAGAGAAGGGCUUUGGUGUCAAUGGAUAGUUUAGCCUGGAGUGUUCCACAGAAACACAAAAGCAGAAUCGCUGUGCAUAAUGACAACCUUUGGCUGGAUCAGAGUGGGACCCAGGUGAGUCAAAUCUCUUGGUGAUUUGAAUCUGCUUUUAAGGUUUUGCUGCGCUGCACUCUGUGAAUUUCAAAUGGUCUCAGUCAAUUUGGCUGAUCCAUUCAUUUACUUAGAGACUUUACAAAUUAAGCUAGUCAAUACCUACUGAAUACCUACCCUAUGCUACAUACUGUGUUAAGUGCUGUGGCAAAUUCCGAGAUGAAUCUCCGUUCUUGCCCUCUAGGAGCUCAUAGUCUGGUGGGGGAUAUAAGAUAUGUAGACUAAUAACUGGAAUAGAGGGUGGAUAGUGGUAAUGAUUCAAGACAAAUACAAAUAGCAUAUACAGUGAGUUCAGAGGAGGGAGAGAUAGUCAAAAGCUGGUGAAAGAUCUGGGGUAAAUUUUCAGAACAAGAAGUAUUUGCACUGAACUUUAAGGAUUAGAGACGCAGAGGGCAUGCUGGAAGAACCACGGCAGGAAAAUCUGAGUGUUUAUACAAAGUGAGAAGUUUUGUUUGGUUAGCAAGGGAGAUUGGAAAAGAUAGGUUGAAGCUAGAUCCUAGAGGAUCCUCAUCUUCUGUGCAAGGAGUUUGGCCCUUGUUCUUUAGGCAGUGAACAUUGUAGAAGAGUGCAACCUCAUGGAUGAAUGUUUUAGGAGGAGCUGGCGGUAGGACGUAGGAUGGAUGGGGGAAGGAAAAGAUGGAAUGUGGAGAAAUAUGAGGCAAUUUGGGGGAUGGUAUAGGCAGGUGGAAUGGAGACGAGUGGGUAACUUAGUUGUUCAGGAGUAGAAUUAACACAACUUGGAAACAUUAUAAAAAGGGGCAGAGGACAGAUAUGAAUGAAAAAUGCUAUGACAGUUCCAAGCAUGGGUGGCAGAGGAGAUUGGUGGAACCAACAGGGGGUAAAAAAGGCAAAGCAUAUUUGGAGGGAAAUGGAAGGGGUUCAGUUUUGGACAAGAGGGGUUUGAGGUGGAGGAUACAGGAUACAGUCUCAUUUGCAUUGAGGAGAAAACAAAGCAGCAUAUUUCUGUAAGAUUUCAAAGGACAGAUGGAGAGAGAUCUGUUCUCUGUGGAGAAAGAGUGAGAAACAGUAUAGAAGUGAGUCGGUGCUCAGGAGUCAGAUCUCAGUUUGAAUUUCAGCUCUGCCACAUACUCUUUGUGGCUGUGGCAAGUUACUUAACCUCUCUGGGCUCAGUUUAAUCAUCUACAAAAUGGGAUAGAAAAUAGCAUUUUUCUCAGAGUGGAUGUGAGAGUUCAGUUAGAUGAUAUAUGUCAGAUAUUUAGAAUGACUCCUGGCAUGUGUUCAAUAAAAGCUAAUUAUUUUAAAAAAUUUACUACCACUAAUAAUGGAAAUGAUUGUGGACAGAAACUUGGGGGCAUGGACAUUUUUGGGGCUUGGGGGAGGAGAAAUUAGAGAAGUAAGAAGUAAGAAAUUAGAAAAGUAAGAAAAAACAACAGAAGAGGAUCAAUGAACUAUAGUUUUGCAGUGUUAGGAAAGAAUUUUACAAGGACUUGGUGACCACUGUUAAUCAGUUGAAGUGAGAAGUUAAUGUGGAUGAGUCUAGAGAAAAUAUACUAUUAAAUUUGGAAGGGGAAUAUGUUAAUUUGCUAGGGCUUCCAUAUCAAAGUACCACAAAUUGGGUGGUUUGAACAACAGAUAGGUAUUGUCUCACUUCUGGAGGCUAGGGGUCUGAGAUCAAGGUGUUAGCAGAGUUGGUUCCUUCAGAGAGUGUGAGGGAAGAAUCUGUUCCAUGCCUUUCCCCUCACUUAUGGUUUAGUGGCAAUCUUGGCAUUCCUUGGUAUGUAGAUAUAGUACCCCAAUCUCUGCCUUUGUCAUCACAUGGUAUUUUCCCUGUGUGUAUGUCUGUGUCCAAAUUUCCUCUUUGUAAUAACACCAGUCAUAUUGGAUUAGGGGCCCUCCCUACUCAGUAUGACUUCAUUUUAACUAAUUAUAUCUGCAACAACCCUAUUUCCAAAUAAUGUCACAUACUGAGGCUCUGGAGGUUAGGACCUCAACAUAUGAAUUUUGUUGGGACAGAAUUAAACUCAUAACAGGGAAGGUGGACUUCGGAAGAAUAGUUUAGGCAGAGAUCAGAUUAUACAUAGAGCAAGAAAGGAAGAAAGUGGAACUCUAAGAUGGAAGUAAAACUGAAGAACAUGGGACAAAGGGAAGUAUAUUGUCCAUGAGGGCAAAGAAGAUGUUUAAAAUGAGCAGAAAGCAAGAUGGAUGGAUGAGCCAUAGUCUGUGUCUAUACCUAAGUCCAGAGGAUGGCCUUUACUAUACCCUUCUCCUAGGCCCCGUGCUCUUUUCUUUUGUUUUUACUUGAAUUGUAUGGAGAAUUGGUUUAUCUCUCCAGUUUGCUCAUGAAAAAAUAGUUAAGAAAUUGUUACCAAGAGAGAAAGAAAGGGAGCACAUGCGGAUAGCUCUGAUUGAUAUUUUACUGUAGAAAUAUAAUGAGGGAGGACAGAAGGGAGUCAUCCUUUGCAUACAACUGGAGUAUAUCUACUUGUAGAAUUUCAGGAUUUCUUAAAAAAUUUUCAUAAAUAUAUAUAUAUAUAUAUAUUUUUUUUACAAAAGAAGAUAUGUAGCUUAGAAUGAAGAACAUUUCCUUUGAGAAAAAGCUUUAAGGAUAGUAAUAAGCUUAAUUAAAUAGUGUUUCAUAUUCAGAAGGGAACAAAAUUAUAAAUGUACAUACAACUUUCUCAACCAUAUGUUCUUUUUAAUGAUAUUAAUAUAUCCCUAGAGAUAAUAGUAAAGCUUCUUCCUAAUUAGGUAGUAUUUUAUUAAACUGAAAGAAAUCUCAUGUUAGUUUGAAUACUAUUUUCAAGAAUUAAAUAACACUUAUAGUCUCAGAUAAAGAGGAUUUUGCUUUCUUCCAUGGAAAUUAUUGGUGCUAGUCAAAAACCAAUUUUAGAAUGAGGGAAACAAGGAGGCUGCUUGCUAAUUGAAGACAAUUCAAAUUCUCCAAGAUUUUGCCAAGCACGAUUAUAUUAUUGCUAAUGCUAUUUAUGCCAAGAUAGCUAUUUUAAGUAAAAAUUAGGAUAAUUUAAACUUUAUAAAAAUGUAAUUUCUGCAGUUGACUAAUUUUUUUCAGUCAAAUCAGUCAAAAUGAUUUUCAUUUAUAGAUUCAGCCUAAAUUAACUUUAAGAGUAUAGUAUAGAGCAAGGUCAUGAGGACGGGGACUGGAAAAAGAAAGACUAGAGUUCAAACCCUGGUUCUGUGAUUAAAAAGGAUGUAAAAUUGGGGCGCCUGGGUGGCGCAGUCGGUUAAGCGUCCGACUUCAGCCAGGUCACGAUCUCCCGGUCCGUGAGUUCGAGCCCCGCGUCAGGCUCUGGGCUGAUGGCUCAGAGCCCGGAGCCUGUUUCCGAUUCUGUGUCUCCCUCUCUCUCUGCCCCUCCCCCGUUCAUGCUCUGUCUCUCUCUGUCCCAAAAAUAAAUAAACGUUGAAAAAAAAAAAAAAACUUAAAAAGGAUGUAAAAUUGAAAAUGAUACAGAUCAAAAUAAUUAUAAGGAGUACUACAUGUACCUCUAUGACAAUAUGUUGAAAACUAAAUGUACUUCUAUGACAAUAUGUUUGAUUUCCAACUCCCCCCACCCAACUAUAAAUCCCCCAAAGGAAUAAGCUGAAGCAGAAAAUAUGAAUGUACCAAUUACUAUACAACAUGUCAGAAAGGUGAUUAUAAAGCUAUGGUUGAAGAAGACAACAGGCCUAGACAGAUUCACAAAAUUGUUUUUCUCAUUUUUAAAGGAUAAUAAAAAUGUUUUAUAAACUAGGUCAUAGACAGUGAUCAUAUAUGAAUAUAGGUGCAACAUUUAUAAAUAAAAUAUUAACAAAUAGAUUUAAUAAUGUAUUUAGGAGUAGUAAAACAAGUACACUUUGUUUCAAAAAUAUAAAUACUGGAAACCUAUUAACAUCCAUUUAUCAACAAAUUAAGGGAAAAAAACCCAACAUCUCCAUUUGACAGACACUUGAUUAAAUUCAGCAACUAUCCCUAAGAAAAACUAUCCCCCCCACAAUAAAGAUCAUUUACCAAAAAGAACAGCAAAUAUUAUCCUAGAUGGUAAAAUAGUAAAACCAUUUUAAUUCAAACCAAGAAUUAGACAGAAAUGCCUACCCUUGUCAUUAUUAUUUAACAUUGUCUUGGAGAUUUGUGCAAGUGUAACAAAUAAGUAAAAUAACUGGUAGAGAAAAUACUGGGGAAGAGGAGAAAAACAAGCUCACUUUUUGACUAUUUGACUAUAUACAUGGAAAAUCCAGGAUACCAUAGUAAAACUUCUUAGAGUUAAUAAGGUAAUUUGGCUAGGUGUCUAGAUGCAAGAUAAAUACAUUAAAAUCAGCAAUUUUUAUGUACUACAAAAAUAAAUAAGUACAAAUGGAAAUGUUCACAACUACUUAAUAACAACAGAGCUAUAAAAUAGGAAGAAAUUUAACAAGAACAAGACUUAAUAUGAAGCAAAUAAAUCAUUAGGAGUUAUAUGUCUUCUAGAAGGACAUAAAACAAGAUAUGAACAAAUAAAAACACCAUGUUUUCAGAUGGGAAGACAAUGUUAAAAUUGUCAAUUCUUCUAAAAUUAAUAUGUAAAAUUAAUGCAGUUCUUACUAGGAUCCCAGGGGCUUUGAGUGGGAAGGAUUUGAUAAAAUGGUAUUAAAGUUUGUGUAGAAGAAUAAAUGUUCAAGAUGGCUCAGAAAAAUAUGAUAAAAAGAUUAGUGAGAGAGGGUUUAUAGAAUGUCAGAGCAUACUAUAAAUUAAGUAUUACACUGGUACAAGAAUAGGUAACUAGAUCAGUAAAAUAGAAUAAAGAGUCUGGAAAUAAACCCUGGAUUAUAUAAGCAUCGUCUACAUUAGGAAGUUGGAAGUAUAGCUCAGUGGGAAAAGAAUAUAUUCUGUGAUGAAUGGUCCUGGCAGAACUGGCUAUCUACUUGGAAGAAAAACUUGGAUCCUUAUCUUAUGUUUAUUCCAAAAAAAAAUAAAGAUCUAUAUAAAGACUAAAUAUAAAAAAUUAUACAGUAACGUCUUGCAAGAUAAUCUGAGAGACUACAUUCCCACAUUUUCUAAGAAUUGGGAAUGAUGGGGAAAGACCCCUUUAACCAGAAGUUUAAUCAUCUUUAUAUAAAAAUUCAUCCUUUUGUAUGGCAAAGAUCAUCAGCAGAGUCAAUAGACAGAUGACUGAUUUGGAAAAAAAACUAAUUGUCAUGCAGGUGAUAGGUAUAUAAUUUGUAAUGAAAAUAUACCAAGAACUCUUACAAAUAGUGAGCAAAAGACAAACUACCCAGUAAAAAUGGCCAAGUCUUAUAAACAGGCAUUUUGUGGAAGAGCAAAUCUUGUUGCCAGCAAACGUGACAAGGUGCCCAAAUUCAUUAGAAGUUAGAGAAAUGCAAAUUAAAGUAAUAAUGAGAUUAAUCCUUACCUCUACCAGACCAGUGGAAAGAAGCAGUGAUGCAGACUGCUGGUAGGAUAUAGAGAAAGAGGUAUGCGCGUCCUUUGCCAAAGGAAAGGUGAACUAUUUCAGUCCUUCUGAAAGUAAUCUGGCAAUUCCUUUUAAAAAUAAAAAUAUCUUUCCUGCCACUUGGCAAUCCCUCUCAUGGACUUUCUUUUAUACAAAUAAGCCCAUUCUAAUUUAAAAAGAUUUCUUUAAGAUAUUGUUAAAUGAGAAAAACAAGAUGCCAGGAAAUGUAUGAUUCAGUUUUUAUAAGACAAACAAUGAAAAGCCUUUGCCAAUAUGAAUAUGAGUAUGUGAGAUUAUAGUAUGGAGAAGUAUACAGAAGGACAUAUACUAGGCUGUCAGCAUGAGUUUUCUGUGGAAUUAGAAGGAGAACAGAUAGUAAAACCAAUAUAAUUUUUCAACAAUUUCCUAUACAACACAUUUGCUUAUUUUUUCAGAUUAAAAUUUUUGUCUUACUGAAAAUUUUCUAUUAAGGUUAGUUUUUCCAUAAACAUUUUUUGACAAAGACUCAAUAAUUAGCGUUUUCUUCCUAUCUAGCUGGACUGACUAUAACUUACGUUAUUGGGAAUUUUCUUUUGGACCAUUAUUUUUAACAAGUAUGAUUCUCCUGGGUACCUUAUCAAAGUUUUGUGAAGAAGAUUCUAUUUUUUACAUAUAAUUUUUGGCUCAAAUUUUGCUGUUUUCAGUAUUACCUGAAAGAUAGGAUUCUUCUUAUGAUUUUUCAGUCAAUAUAAAUGUUACUGUUCAAAGAUUUUGCCAUUGCAAGUUUUACUUUGUAUGGAUUAUUUAUGCAAGUCAUGUUUAUUAUGGAUUGGAUGUGGUGGUGAUUUUAUAUUUUUUGCCCAGAGAAGAAAAGCAAAUUAAUAGAGCAGAGAUGUGAGAUCUGAAUGCACGAUGGAUGAAAAUAUCUUUGAGGUCAGCACUUGAGGUUAAAAUGCUCUUCUUUGUACCUGACAUAGACUAGGUGCUUGGUAGUUACUAUUAUUAUUUCUUGAAGGUAUAAAUCAAUCCUACCUUGUUUAGCCAUCUUAUGCUCUGCAAGCCUUUGUGAUUGGGAUUUAGGGAGACAAUAAUCUGAAAAUCCACAUGUUAAGGUGAAAUCUGACAUUUAAGCAUUGGUGGCUAAUUUGAAUUUUAUGAACCACAGUGUGGGCUAACAUUAUGUAGUUUCCGUGAAGUGUGUCCACAGGCUGCAUACUACUUUUUGACUUCUGGUGCAGCACAACUCUUGGCUGUCCUAAUGUUCCUGAUGCUGGAAAUGUGGCCUACUAGAAAAAUGUCAUCCUCUGUCUGAGAAGUCCCUCCUGCCACAGAAAUUUGACUGGAACCCCAGGACCAGAUAAGUCAGGUACGCCCUUGUUUCAGAUCGGAACGAUGGAAGAGAAGUGUGCUAGAGAGGGGUCAUCUAGGUGCAUCCCAUAUGGUCUCUCAUGUAUUUCCCUUCAUCCCUAUGAACUAGCUGCAUGGGAUGCUGGCUCUCCAGCAGCAGGUGGCAGCAUUAGCCCAAAGAUUGGCCACGUUAGGGCCUGUAAUACUCCCAAUUCCUUCCUUAUUCGUAUGUGUGUGUAUAUGUAAGAGAAGGAACAGAUUACUCCCCAUCAGUUUUAGGGGGAAGAAAAUGAUUUUCCAUAUACUUAAAAAUUUAAAAAAAUAUUUAAGCCCCUACUAUGUGCCAGCCACUGUGCUGUGCAUUUUAUUUUUAACUGAUUUUUAUUUAGUUUAUUUUUUUUGAGUAUAGUUGACACACGAUGUUACAUUAGCUUCAGGUGUCCGACUCAGUGGUUUGUCGAGUUUACACGUGGUGCCAUAUUCACCGCAAGUGGUGUGCUGUGCAUCUUAAUGGUCGUGUUGUUUAAUUUUCACAACCUGUGAGGCAGGCUACUAUUUCUCUCAUUUCAAAGGUGAAGAAAUUGACUUUUUGAGGCUAAAGGAAUCUGCCUGAGGCUGUACUGUUUCUAAGAGGCAGAGCUGGGUCUGCAGUUACUAGAUCUUUGACUGUUUUCCUGGAAUCAUACCUGUCAUUCAGAUCUGGAGUCGACUUUCUGUCUCAGUUCUCCUGACAUUUGCCUGAUUAAUGUUGUUGAGAAACUUGGGCUGGAUUUGGGGACAGAGAAAGCUGGCAUGGCAGAGGAUAUUUGCCCCAGAUGCUGGCCAGGUGGUGUGCCCCAAAGCUGGUGAUAGAGGGAAGAUGGAUGCUAUUACGGAGGAACACCAUGCUUUCAGUCUGGAGAAUGGAUGUAGAGAUUUGAUGUGUUUUUUCUUUCUUAUAUAACAAUUCCUAUGACAAGAACAGAUUACCUUUUUCCUGAUUUCUUACUAUUCAAAGUAUUGGCAUAGAAAAGAAGUUCUAUGAGAAGUUUAAUGCUUCUUGUGAUAAAUGUGAGGGGCUGGCUUUUUGGUAAUUAAAGCUGCAGGAUGUUUGCGUGACAGACCGGUCCUUGGCUAUUUCAUACUGUGUCAGAAUGUAUUUGAUUAAAAAUGGCUAAUCUCAUGAUUUUAUAUAAAUGGCUCAAAAAUGGUAGAUAGUCCGCUAAGUAAAUUAGAUCAGCCAGCAAAGUUCACAAUUUCUUCUGGUAAGGCAGUGUUAGGUAGAGAGCAGCUUCAGAACUAAUUCUCCCUUGCCUGUGUGAUCUUGUGUAGUAAGCAACUCAUUCUUCAUCUGUAAAGGAGGGGAUGGGCUGGAUGACACCAGAAGUUUUCUUCCUGCUUUUCAAGCCCGUGAUUUUCUGGAGUCCCCGUGGAUCUAUAUGUGAACAGAACUAGCCCCCUUCCAGGCAGAGGAGCUCCAGAGGUGGGCACAGAGAUUAGAUAAGACCUUGUAUCUUUACAGGAAUGGUCCCAAGUCACUGGCAAGUUAGGAACCGACUAAAAAGGACACUAUUAUAUCACAUUUAAAGAGCAUGGCUUUGGAGUCAGACAGUCCUUAUCCAAAUCUUGCCUCCACUGAUGACUAGUUAUAUAAUCUUAGGCAAGUCACUAUAACUCCCUGAAUCUCGAUUUUCUUAGUAGAUACCUUAAAUUUGCUGUGGGUUUUAAGAGUCAUGGUAAAACACGUGAUAGUUACCCAAUAAAUGGUAAUUCUUCUCACUAGUGAUUGUUAUGGGUUGAAUUGUGUCACCUGAAAAUUCGUAUGUUGAAAUCCUGGCUCUCAGCACCUCCGAACGUGAUCUUAUUUGGAGAUAUGUUUUUUUUCCAGAGGUAAUCAAGUUAAAAUGGGGUCAUUAAGGUGGGCCUUAAUCAAAUAUGGUGUCCUUAUAAAAAGGGGGAUUUAGGCACAGAGAUAUACAUAGAGGGGAGAUGAUGUGUAUAGAUGCAGGGAGAAGACAGCCAUCUGUGCCAAGAAGAGAGCCCUGGAACAAAUGCAUCCCUCAUGGCUCUCGGAAGAAACCAAACCUGCUGACACUUUGAUCUUGGACUCCAGCCUCCAGACUGAGAGAGAACACGUUUCUGUGUUUAACCUACCCAAUCGGUGGUGCUUUAUUACCACAGCCCCAGCAAACUACUACACCUAUUUUCACUCAGGUUGCUAUUCUACUGCCAUCUUGUUCCCCUCUGAGUGCACCUUGUGUAGCACCUAUACAAGGACAAGUUGUGGCUUUAUGUUCACUGCCUCAGCUGCUCCAAAGUGGUCGGCCAGCCUUUGGGAUGGUAUUGAAAUAGUUCACAUUUAUUGCUACCAUUUCAUAUUCCAGGACAUUGAGGCACAGGUAUGUUUAGCAACUCAUCUCAAGGUCACACACCUAUGAAGUAGUAGAGCCAAGAUCUAGAUGGACCCAGACAUUCUGUCCCCAGAAUCCUUGCCCUUAAUUCUCACAGUGACAUGUUAACCACCAUGCAGAGAAGCUUGGAGAUGAUGGGUUGAAAGAAGAGUAAGUCUGAGUGGCCGCCUCUUAUCAGCAGGACAGAACUGACAGCUCUGUGUGUUCAGCACUGGCCUCCAUGUAUCUCUGUCAUCACAUCACUGGAACAUGCUAGUCAAUGGUGCCCACUGCCUGCAGAUCACUGAGCCUGCUAAGAAGUUCCAUUGGCCAGAGUCCAGAGCUAUUGCUCUCAUUUUAGGUCCUGGACCCUUCAUCUUUCAGGAUUUCCCCAAGCUGCCGUUGAUGAAUUUUUGGGCCUCUGCCCAAGGAUCUGAUGUAGAAAAGCACUAUGGAGGGGCGGAAUGCCAUAGUGGUUAGGGGUGCAGGCUCUGAUGUCAGAUGCUUGGGUUUGGAUACUGGCUCUGUUAGUAAUUUAGUUAGCCUCAGAUACUCACCUAUGAAAUGGGGAUGGCAGUAGUAUUUAUUUCAUAUGGUUGUCUUGAUGAGGAUUAUUAAUGCAUACUCAUUUCUUAGAUCAACACUUGGUGGGUACUUAAUGCAUGUUGGCUAUUAUAACAUGUCCGUGGGAUGGGAUAUAGUACUAUAAUGGUAACUAUAUAGGAGUGCAUCUCUUCCAGGAAGAAGACUGAACUAUAUCCAGUCUGUAGUAAUAAAUUCAUAAAAUUUCAAUAACCUGCCAUCCAUAUUGCCAUACAAAUACAGAGCUUGAUGUAUAUGCAAGAAUUAUUAUUUCAGGAAUUGUGCAAUUCAGUAGAAAAUGUUCAUAGCGUAUAAUAAAUAUUUGUUGAAUGAAUGAAUGAAAUGAGAGGUGAGGCCCUGGUGCUGCAGGAGGGAGGGGAAUGCAGGCUGGCCGAGAGAUGCUUGGGCCACUAUGACAAAAGAGUAGUAAAUUAUCCAGAGACCCAGCUCUAGAGGAUGGGGUGAACUCUGAACCAAGACAACAGGUGGAGAUGUGGAUGGCAGCAGGCAUCUCAGGACCCUGACUGUGGCCAUCAGUGGGGGAGAUGCUGGGGCCAAGGCUGGGCUGGCCUGGGAUCAGGGGCAAGGAGAAGCUCUAUUCCAGGUUAGGGGACUGAUGGGAAAUUCAAGGAGGACAGAAGCCUGUCAGACAGGCAGAAGGACUAUUCUCUGGGAAUUAGAGAUGGCCUCUGGCUCUGUGCUCACUCACCAGAUCUCUGGGGGCAGGCCUGGGGGCAUCGGAAGACUGCAGACCCUGGUGGCCACGUGAGUUAGCCUACCUCCUGAACACUGAGGACAGGUCUUUAUUACUGGCAGCUGGGAGGUGCCGGACACCUGGACUGAGAGAGAGUGUCAAGGACUGGAUGCCAGCCUACAUGCUGCAAGGCACGGGGAUGAUGCCGAAGCCCAGCGAAAAUGAGCCCUCCCAUUCUGAACCCGAAACUUGUGAUAUGACCUGGAACUUUUAAAGUGGAGUCAAUUAAAGGCUUUCCAGAAGCAAUGGAAAGAUUUCUAUUACGUUUGUCAGUAAGAAGUGUAAAUUAUUAUAAUCUUUUUGGAGAGUUAUUUUGCGAUAUUAUCACAAUUUAAAGGAUGUUAAUUGCAGUGGUGUUUGUGACUGUAAAAAGUGGAAAUGAUCUAAAUGCCAUCAACAGAAGAUUGGUUAAAUAAGUAAUAGUACUACUGUGUAUUUCAAUCAAAGAUGAUGAAGUAAACAUACAUGUACACUCAUGUACAACAAACAUACAAAGGUUACCACAUUGUAUUUUAUGAAAAAAGCGUGCUUCAGAAGAAUGAAUCACUAAUGCCCUGUGGGUGUAAAAAAAGAAUUAUGUGCAUAUAAUACACGUUUGAGUAAUGCAUGGAACAUAUCUGGAAGGACACAAACCAAAUGAGCAGUGGCUAAUUCCAGAAAGAGGGCUUGAUGGGAGAUGGGAGGGUGAGGAAAGGGAAGAGGGUAUUUUACUUUGUACUUCAUAGAUUUCUGUACUAUGUGCUUAUAUUGUUUUGUUUUACAAGUAUUUAUUGAGUGCUGUUUUUUUAAAACGGUGUAAAAAAAGAAUCUCAAAAUAAAACUGAAGUUUGUUACCUUGGU